rnacentral:rRNA from 1 species
UGGGGAAUAUUGGACAAUGGGCGAAAGCCUGAUCCAGCCAUGCCGCGUGUGUGAAGAAGGCCUUUUGGUUGUAAAGCACUUUAAGCGAGGAGGAGGCUACUUGGAUUAAUACUCUAGGAUAGUGGACGUUACUCGCAGAAUAAGCACCGGCUAACUCUGUGCCAGCAGCCGCGGUGAUACAGAGGGUGCGAGCGUUAAUCGGAUUUACUGGGCGUAAAGCGUGCGUAGGCGGCUUCUUAAGUCGGAUGUGAAAUCCCUGAGCUUAACUUAGGAAUUGCAUUCGAUACUGGGAAGCUAGAGUAUGGGAGAGGAUGGUAGAAUUCCAGGUGUAGCGGUGAAAUGAGGAGAGAUAUGGAGGAAUACCGAUGGCGAAGGCAGCCAUCUGGCCUAAUACUGACACUGAGGUAAGAAAGCGUGGGGAGCAAACAGG